AUGGCUCAGGAUGAACGCUAGCUACAGGCUUAACACAUGCAAGUCGAGGGGCAGCAUUGGAGUAGCAAUACUCAGAUGGCGACCGGCGCACGGGUGAGUAACACGUAUCCAACCUGCCGCUUACUCGGGGAUAGCCUUUCGAAAGAAAGAUUAAUACCCGAUGGUAUAAAGAGUUCGCAUGUUCUCUUUAUUAAAGAAUUUCGGUAAGCGAUGGGGAUGCGUUCCAUUAGAUAGUUGGCGGGGUAACGGCCCACCAAGUCUACGAUGGAUAGGGGUUCUGAGAGGAAGGUCCCCCCACAUUGGAACUGAGACACGGUCCAAACUCCUACGGGAGGCAGCAGUGAGGAAUAUUGGUCAAUGGACGAGAGUCUGAACCAGCCAAGUAGCGUGCAGGAAGAAUGUCCCUAUGGAUUGUAAACUGCUUUUGCAGGGGAAUAAAGUGCAUCACGUGUGAUGUUUUGUAUGUACUCUGCGAAUAAGGAUCGGCUAACUCCGUGCCAGCCGCCGC
rnacentral:rRNA from 1 species